GCAGAGUUAUUCUCAGGACACGAGGUGAGAAAGGUCUCUGGUUUCUGUGUUUGGCGACAGAGUAACAGGAAUUCCUGUGUUUCUGUUCCUCCCUGUAAGUGUCAGUGAGGAAAACCCUGACUGAUGGGCCUUCAAAAUACUACUUGCUUACCGUUACACCUGCCGGGUCAGUGGAGGCUUUGAAGAUUUGUUAAAGGCAGUAGACUGUUCCCACGGCUAAGUGGGCCCCGGGCUCCUCGGAGCCACUGAUAUCCACCCAUGAGCCCAGGGGAUAGGAAAGCUGGCAAAGAACACAACAUAAAAGAAGAAUCAAUCAGAGGGGGACAGAGAAGGAGAUGAAAUGUCGAAUCUGCUUGCAUUCUGGUUCUAACCCAUGGCUGCUCUGUCUCUCCUCUCCACAUCCAGAAGCAGCUCCGAGGAGGUGACCCCACGAACAUCGACGCUCCGGGACCUCCCCAGCACGGUGCGGUGGGGCAGCUGGUGUUGUGAAUCAGGCCGUUGCCAAUCAGAGAACGGCUACUUCACAACACCAGGGUCGCACCCCACCACAGGCAGCGCUCCAGCCAGCCCCAGCCAAGCUCCCCACAAUGAUUCAUCAAUGCUGGGACACUGCCAAGCCCUCCAGAACCCCAGCACGAGCUCUGCGGAAUCAGAAACUCGGGGGUGCGGCCCAGGAACCUGUGUGCUAUGAAGUCCUGCAGGCGAUUCUGAAGUGCCUCAAGUUUGAGAACCACUAAGAGGAGAAACUGAAGAAAAGCCACCUUCAGUACCAAAUGUUAAAAGGACGUGGAGUGGAGUGCCGUGCCCGCCCUCUGCCGCAGUGUGACAAGUUUAGGGCAUUUACUAUAUGUUGAAUAUGUUUUGAAUCUACUUUUCUGAUUCUUAACAGUAAAUCCCAAAGUGUUCUGGUCUGUGGAAACCUGACCCUUCCCUUCUUCACCUGAAUAAACAUGCCCAGAACACCCUCACAACAGGGACACUGGCAGGUAAAAGUUCUUUUCCACCAAUUUCAAGGCCUAGAUUUUUAUUCACUAUUGAUUGGAUUCUUGACACAGUGCGCACACGUUUUAAGGGCCUUACAAGUCUUUAAUCUGAGCUCCCAACAACCCCAUUUAAAAAAAAAAAAAAGGAACUGG